UACAGAGGGUGCGAGCGUUAAUCGGAAUUACUGGGCGUAAAGCGCGCGUAGGCGGCUUUGCAAGUCGGGUGUGAAAUCCCCAGGCUUAACCUGGGAACUGCAUUCGAGACUGCAUUGCUAGAGUGUGGGAGAGGGAUGCGGAAUUCCAGGUGUAGCGGUGAAAUGCGUAGAUAUCUGGAGGAACACCGGUGGCGAAGGCGGCAUCCUGGACCGACAUUGACGCUGAGGAGCGAAAGCUAGGGGAGCAAACGGG
rnacentral:rRNA from 1 species